GGCGAACGGGUGAGUAAUAUAUCGGAACGUGCCUAGUAAUGGGGAACAACUAAUCGAAAGGUUAGCUAAUACCGCAUACGACCUACGGGUGAAAGCAGGGGAUCUUCGGACCUUGCGUUAUUAGAGCGGCCGAUAUCUGAUUAGGUAGUUGGUGGGGUAAAGGCCUACCAAGCCUACGAUCUAUAGCUGGUCUGAGAGGACGACCAGCCACACUGGAACUGAGACACGGUCCAGACUCC
rnacentral:rRNA from 1 species